GUGCCAGCCGCCGCGGUAAUACGUAGGUGACAAGCGUUAUCCGGAAUUAUUGGGCGUAAAGCGCACGCAAGCGGUUGGACAAGUCCGGCGUGAAAUCUCCCAGCUUAACUGGGAGCGGUCGCGGGAAACUGUUCGACUUGAGGCGAUGAGAGGGGUGCAGAAUUCCCGGUGUAGUGGUGGAAUGCGUAGAUAUCGGGAGGAAUACCAGUGGCGAAAGCGGCACCCUGGCGUCGUACUGACGCACAUGUGCGAAAGCGUGGGGAGCGAACGGGAUUAGAUACCCUGGUAGUCC
rnacentral:rRNA from 1 species